rnacentral:lncRNA from 1 species
GAAGUUCGGGCAAAUCCCUAAGUACGAUCAGGAAGUCCACCACCUGUUUUUGACACCCAGCUUAGUGCACCAAUUUCACAUAAUCAGGCUCAUAAGCGACGCCGCACCUACGCACAAACUCAAACCCCGCCGCGGGUUACAUCUCUCCCUACACCCACCAAACUGCAGCGGCGCUGCUUAAUAAUUUCAUAACUUUAAGAUUAUGACAGCGGUGGUAACAAACAAAAACUCCAGAGGCAUCUACAUAAAAUUCCCAACAAGUUUUGUAUACAAUUUAUAAUUAAAUUCCAAUAUCUAAUUAUCCCAAAACAGUCCACAAGAUGAACUCUGUAAUCUGUUUUUCUUUGUCUUUUGGACAGCGACAUACCCGGAUUCAAACAGCGAUAUCUUUUAAAAUAUAAUUCCAAAUCAAGCGCAUAAGUACUCAUUGGAAAGAUAAGACAAAUCCCUACAUGAUUAUCAUACUGAUUAACACUAAUUACCCACGAAAAAUUCCCAGAAACUUCUAAUACCACUGCUGUUCACCCACCUGAAAAAUCUGUUUUUUUUUUUGGACAGCAACAUAACCGGAUUCAAACAACGAUAUCUCCUAAAUUAUAACUCCGAAUCGAGCGCAUAAGUACUUGUUGGAAAGAUAACAUAAAGCCCUACAUGAUUCUCAUACUGAUUAACACUAAUUACUCCCGAAAAAUCCCCAGAAACUGCUAAUACUGCUGCUGUUCAUCCCCUGAAAAUCUGUUUUUUUGGACAGCCACCUACCCGGUUUCAAACGGUGAUAACUUUUAAUUUAUAACUCCAAAUUGAGCGCAUAAAUACUCGUUGGAAAGGUAUACCAAAGUUUUACAUGAUUCCCAAACUGAUUCCCCUUAAUUCUCCACGAAAAAAGCCCAGAAAUCACUAAUUCUGCUGCUGUUCGUCCACCCCCUUAAAAUUCUGGACAGCCCUUCUACCAAAUCGCACACGCAACAUCUAAACAAUUGGAUUGCCGCAUAAAAUGAACAAGAGAUAAACACAAAAAUCACCUUGGGUUCUCUCCCUUUUCUUCCUCCCUUCCUCCCUCCACCGAAAACCGUUGAAGAUUUGCACCACGCGACGGAGAUCCGAGCGGCAACGAAUGGCACCAUGGGAGGAGGAGAUGGGGGGCGGCGGCUAGGGUUUGAUGUGUGGCUGCAAGUGCUUGAGAAAGGAGGAGAUGGGAG